rnacentral:rRNA from 1 species
AGAGUUUGAUCAUGGCUCAGGAUGAACGCUGGCGGCGUGCCUAACACAUGCAAGUCGAGCGAUUUACUUCGGUAAAGAGCGGCGGACGGGUGAGUAACGCGUGGGUAACCUGCCCUGUACACACGGAUAACAUACCGAAAGGUAUGCUAAUACGAGAUAAUAUACUUUUAUCGCAUGGUAGAAGUAUCAAAGCUCUGGCGGUACAGGAUGGACCCGCGUCUGAUUAGCUAGUUGGUAAGGUAACGGCUUACCAAGGCGACGAUCAGUAGCCGACCUGAGAGGGUGAUCGGCCACAUUGGAACUGAGACACGGUCCAAACUCCUACGGGAGGCAGCAGUGGGGAAUAUUGCACAAUGGGCGAAAGCCUGAUGCAGCAACGCCGCGUGAGCGAUGAAGGCCUUCGGGUCGUAAAGCUCUGUCCUCAAGGAAGAUAAUGACGGUACUUGAGGAGGAAGCCCCGGCUAACUACGUGCCAGCAGCCGCGGUAAUACGUAGGGGGCUAGCGUUAUCCGGAAUUACUGGGCGUAAAGGGUGCGUAGGUGGUUUCUUAAGUCAGAGGUGAAAGGCUACGGCUCAACCGUAGUAAGCCUUUGAAACUGGGAAACUUGAGUGCAGGAGAGGAGAGUGGAAUUCCUAGUGUAGCGGUGAAAUGCGUAGAUAUUAGGAGGAACACCAGUUGCGAAGGCGGCUCUCUGGACUGCAACUGACACUGAGGCACGAAAGCGUGGGGAGCAAACAGGAUUAGAUACCCUGGUAGU